GGCGUGGGGGGCAUACUGGCAGUCGAGCGGACAGAUGGGAGCUUGCUCCCUGAUGUUAGCGGCGGACGGGUGAGUAACACGUGGGUAACCUGCCUGUAAGACUGGGAUAACUCCGGGAAACCGGGGCUAAUACCGGAUGGUUGUCUGAACCGCAUGGUUCAGACAUAAAAGGUGGCUUCGGCUACCACUUACAGAUGGACCCGCGGCGCAUUAGCUAGUUGGUGAGGUAACGGCUCACCAAGGCGACGAUGCGUAGCCGACCUGAGAGGGUGAUCGGCCACACUGGGACUGAGACACGGCCCAGACUCCUACGGGAGGCAGCAGUAGGGAAUCUUCCGCAAUGGACGAAAGUCUGACGGAGCAACGCCGCGUGAGUGAUGAAGGUUUUCGGAUCGUAAAGCUCUGUUGUUAGGGAAGAACAAGUGCCGUUCAAAUAGGGCGGCACCUUGACGGUACCUAACCAGAAAGCCACGGCUAACUACGUGCCAGCAGCCGCGGUAAUACGUAGGUGGCAAGCGUUGUCCGGAAUUAUUGGGCGUAAAGGGCUCGCAGGCGGUUUCUUAAGUCUGAUGUGAAAGCCCCCGGCUCAACCGGGGAGGGUCAUUGGAAACUGGGGAACUUGAGUGCAGAAGAGGAGAGUGGAAUUCCACGUGUAGCGGUGAAAUGCGUAGAGAUGUGGAGGAACACCAGUGGCGAAGGCGACUCUCUGGUCUGUAACUGACGCUGAGGAGCGAAAGCGUGGGGAGCGAACAGGAUUAGAUACCCUGGUAGUCCACGCCGUAAACGAUGAGUGCUAAGUGUUAGGGGGUUUCCGCCCCUUAGUGCUGCAGCUAACGCAUUAAGCACUCCGCCUGGGGAGUACGGUCGCAAGACUGAAACUCAAAGGAAUUGACGGGGGCCCGCACAAGCGGUGGAGCAUGUGGUUUAAUUCGAAGCAACGCGAAGAACCUUACCAGGUCUUGACUCCUCUGACAUCCUAAAGAAGGACGUCCCUUCGGGGCAAAUGACAGGUGGGG
rnacentral:rRNA from 1 species